UACGUAGGGAGCAAGCGUUGCUCGGAAUCACUGGGCGUAAAGGGUGCGUAGGCGGCCUGCUAAGUCGGACGUGAAAUCCCUCGGCUCAACCGGGGAACUGCGUCCGAUACUGGUGGGCUCGAAUCCGGGAGAGGGAUGUGGAAUUCCAGGUGUAGCGGUGAAAUGCGUAGAUAUCUGGAGGAACACCGGUGGCGAAGGCGGCAUCCUGGACCGGUAUUGACGCUGAUGCGCGAAAGCCAGGGGAGCAAACGGG
rnacentral:rRNA from 1 species